UACGGAGGGUGCAAGCGUUAAUCGGAAUUACUGGGCGUAAAGCGCACGCAGGUGGCUGAGUCAGUCGAUUGUGAAAGCCCUGGCUUAACCUGGGAAUUGCAGUCGAUACUACUCAGCUAGAGUAUGGGAGAGGGUAGUGGAAUUCCCGGUGUAGCGGUGAAAUGCGUAGAUAUCGGGAGGAACAUCAGUGGCGAAGGCGGCUAC
rnacentral:rRNA from 1 species